rnacentral:rRNA from 1 species
UACCAGCACCCCGAGUGGUCGGACCGAUUAUUGGGCCUAAAGCAUCCGUAGCCGGUUUUACAAGUCCUCCGUUAAAUCCAGCUGCUUAACAGAUGGGCUGCGGAGGAUACUAUAAGACUAGGAGGCAGGAGAGGCAAGCGGUACUCAGUGGGUAGGGGUAAAAUCCGUUGAUCCAUUGAAGACCACCAGUGGCGAAGGCGGCUUGCCAGAAUGCGCUCGACGGUGAGGGAUGAAAGCUGGGGGAGCAAACCGG